GAUGAACGCUGGCGGCGUGCCUAAUACAUGCAAGUCGAGCGAACAGACGAGGAGCUUGCUCCUCUGACGUUAGCGGCGGACGGGUGAGUAACACGUGGAUAACCUACCUAUAAGACUGGGAUAACUUCGGGAAACCGGAGCUAAUACCGGAUAACAUAUUGAACCGCAUGGUUCAAUAGUGAAAGACGGUUUUGCUGUCACUUAUAGAUGGAUCCGCGCCGCAUUAGCUAGUUGGUAAGGUAACGGCUUACCAAGGCAACGAUGCGUAGCCGACCUGAGAGGGUGAUCGGCCACACUGGAACUGAGACACGGUCCAGACUCCUACGGGAGGCAGCAGUAGGGAAUCUUCCGCAAAGGGCGAAAGCCUGACGGAGCAACGCCGCGUGAGUGAUGAAGGUCUUCGGAUCGUAAAACUCUGUUAUUAGGGAAGAACAAAUGUGUAAGUAACUAUGCACGUCUUGACGGUACCUAAUCAGAAAGCCACGGCUAACUACGUG
rnacentral:rRNA from 1 species